rnacentral:ribozyme from 1 species
AGCGCUGCCAGAUGGCAAUAUCGACAAGCGACAAAGCGAUAAGAUGCUCACCGACAGCCUGAAGGGUCUGUCAGAAAUGAGUUUGGAUGAUGUUUCUACGAGUAGAGCUGGUUUGGCUGAUAAACAAAUAUCAGGAUUGAGUGUGGAUCAUAGUGUUGGUGUUAACCCAACGCCUUUGAGAGA